AACAUUUAAAAGGGGCUGCGCACAGGCAGAGUCACCACUGCUGAGAUCAGGAGCAACUCCUGCGUCCGCAGAGACGCUAGGAUGGAUGAGUUAUUUCACGGGGCGAACACCAGCCCCUGACUCUUCCAAAGUCUCCUGUUUCAUCUCUUCAGAGAUCCUUCGGCUGCAGAGAGUGCAGUGAGUCGGCUGCAGCUCGCUCCCCAGAAGAACAGCUGGACGACGGCCGAAUAUCCCUUCUUUUCCUCGGCGAGUUUGGACUUCGCGGGACACUCCGAAAACUUCCCCAAACUGAUGUGCUAUGCUUCGGAGACGCAGUCACCCAGUCAAUAAGAAUUUCAGGUCUCCUGAAUGGAGAAAAUCACCUAUUUUGACGCAGAAAAUCAUAUAUGUUGGCAGAGUAAAUCAUCCACGUUGGCAAAUAAAAUUAGAGCGGCUGCUCUGAAAAUGAGCACUGAAACUUCGUGGAAACGUCUCUCCCACCUAGCUCAACAGUUCAGGACCAGAAGCAAGUCAACAAUGUGAGAGAGACCAGAUCAUCCAGAUCAGGAUGCGUAAAAGAAAAAGAAAAAGAAAGAGGAAAAAGAAGCGGAAGCGGAAAUGGAAGCAGAAGCCCAAUUGGAAGAAUAUUCUUCAAAGAUGGUUACAAAGGUCGGUCAAAUACUCUGCUGUAAAACCCCUUCGUUGUGUUAAUCAGUACCUAGUGUACAUAGCCUUAGCUCAUCUGGGGUCUUGAGAGAAGAUCAAAAGGAGGACAAGAAAUAUAAGGGGGAUUUGGGGAAGCAUCCCUACAAUCCUACAAAAACUUAGCAGAUGAUUUCUACCCUGACAAUAUGAGGGAUGAUUUCUGUACCCCCUCAGGAGAAUAUGGCCUGAAAUAGGGUCAUCACACCUCAGAGUUAGAGAACUUUCUGUUGUUCUUAAAAGACUAUCCAGUCCUCCUUCUCACAACAGAUGGAGAAUUCAUCUUGGGAAGUACUUGCCUAAAAUCACAAGAGAGGCAAAGAUGAGAUUUGAACUCAGUCUGCUGAUUUCAAGUCCAAGAUUCUUUUGAAGGGACCUUAGAGAUAUUCUGGUCCUACUUUGUAAAUUUGCAGCUGGUGAAACUGAGGCCUUGAGGGCAAACUGGCCUGAGCUCCUGUUCUACUAAUUAGCUACAUUGUAGAAGCAAGCAUCCCAAGGCUUGCAAAUAAUACAUGUACCUUGAUCUAAAGCAUUUGAUUUCCUGGCAUUUCUAGGGAGGAAAAAACAGAGAGAGAUCAUUUUGUCCAAACUGUGUGAGCAGCUUUGGAAUAACUGAUACUCUGGGCUCAGAGAGCUGCCAGGCAGGGAAAAUAAUAAGAACCAUGGAGCAAUGUGGUCUCUCCAGAGAGCCACACCCUAUUUUUUGGCCCAAGACCAUUUUCCUCAAUGGAGCAUUGGCUCCUGGAAACCAUUGUACUUAAUGGGGCAUUGGCUCCUAUAAACGAUUGUGCUUAAUGGGGCAUUGGCUCCUAGAAACCAUUGUGCCUAACGGAGCAUUGGCUCCGAGUGGCUCCAGGUAUGCUCCUGAAGGGGUUAUGGAGCCACAGACACUGUAGGCUGAACUCCCUCUUAGGAUGGCUGAGUGAAGCCUGUUAAAGAGUCGGUUGCUCAGGGAGAGGGAGGGAUUAUGCCAGAGCUGUCACUAGACUACUGAUUUCAUUUGUUAUGUCACUUCCCUGUUCAAAGACUUUCCAGGGGUUCCCUGUUCCUAAUAGCAUCAAUUCCAGAUUCCUUAGGCUGGUGGCUACAUUCUAGUGCCAUACUACCUUUUCCAACCCCAUCUCCCAUCUUUCAAAUGAUUCAACACUUCAAGGAUCUGUAGUUUUACUGGUGUGGGAACUCCUUCCACUGAGACAGAUUUUAAUUCCCUCUGUGGCUUAGCCGAUGUUCUUUGAGGGGUAUUGUUUCCAAAAACUUUCAUCUCCAUGAGGCCGACCUGGCCCUAAGUCUUUAUGAACUUAGCUUGGCUGAUCCUCAUGCAACGGUCCAUCCUUGGCCCGUCCUGGCAAAGCUUGUUCCCCUACCCCCGAAGCACAGACUUCAAGGAUUCCCAGUCACCUUCUCCACACCACAGUGAGACUUCUGAAGAGGGACAUUUGAAUUGAGCUUCACAGAGGAGAUGAGACUUGAACCCUGUCAUCUUUCAAAGGCUCAACUUAAGCCCAACAUUCUCCAUGAAGCCUUCCCUGAUUCUACAGUUUCAGGGGACCUCUCCCUCUUGUGAACUCAAACAGCAUUUGUUUGUACUGUAUUGUUUAGUUGGCACUCACAUCAUAUAUUGUCCAGUGAGUGUUCUUCUGUUGUUGUCUUAUAUUGUUACUCAGCUUAAUCUAUGUUUGAGCCUGGGCUCCCUUGCCAAAUGGUGAGCUUGAGGUUGUGUUGAGGGCCGGGAAUGUGCUUUAUAUGUCUUUGUAGCUCCCAGGGUGAAUGUAGUCUAGUAUUGGGCUAGAAACAUAGUUCUCUUGGGUUGGUACUUAUUGUUAUUAUUUUUUAAGGCUGGGUUAGUAUUUCUUUGGUUAAGGUCCUAAAAGUAAAAUGCUUUCUUCUAGACCUUAGGGAAGUCAUAAACACUUCAGCCUUUAGAAUUUUUGACAUUGCUGAACUGUAUUCCCCUUUGGGAUUAAUUCCUUCCUUGGUAGCUAGAGAGGAAUGAACAAUGGAGAGAAAAUGAUUUUGGGGAAGAUUAUGCCGUGUAACUGUGUGCCAUUCUGUGGAAGUCACAGGGAGAAAAAUUGUUGACUAGUACAAGAAGCAACAAUGAUCUUGUCCUGCAAUGGAUCAGUAAGCCUCAGAAGGGAGUGUGAGCUUUCUGACACUAAGCAUUCAAACAGAGGCUCAGAGAAGCUCCCCCUCCAUCCACCCAUCCCUCAGCAAUAUGAUAGAGUGGGAGGACGGAUAAGAUCAUUUCAAAAGUCCUUCCCAUAUCUAAGUCUUUACUUAAACACUUCAAGUAUAUUGUGGGUAUUCCCAACAAAUGUUAUAACCCUUAUAUAAACUUAGAAGUGGGUCUUUAGAGAAUUGCUGUGGGAAAUUUUGUAAGAUGCUUCUUGUAAAACAGACCCAUGGCACUGCACAAGAGUCUGGCCUGAGAGUCUCAGAUUUUAUAAUAAGGGACAUAUUUCAGAAUAUUCUGUGAUAUGUUCCAGCAUUUAGGAGGUGUGAGGGGCAAAGCUGGGCCAUAAUAGAAAGGAAAGUCCAUGGGCAAAGGGCUUUUCUUAGAUUUCAGCAUAAUGGAAGGGGAUCACUUUGUAGGGAGAUUAAAAAAAAAAUCUCUCCAGCGGCACCAAGCUUGCCACUGCUGUCUGACUGCUGACAGCUGGAGAUCUCCCUUUCUCCCUCUUCCCUCCUCCUCUUUGCUCACUCUUCCCUGGUUGAGCUCUUUUUUGGAAGGACUUUCCAAUUUGUUCAGAGGCUGUGCUUGAAAAGGCACUGGCUGGAAUGUGACCCAAGGCUCCCGUAACCAAGCCUCUGCAAUUAGAGACUUGAUUCUUGCCCUUCUUUGGGAAUAUUGUGACACCAGCAUGUGUGACUUUCCAGGUGGCUGCAAAGGCAGCAAGAUUUCUUAGGCUAGGGGUAUGAGUGGCAGGGGAUCAGAGGGAGGAACAGGAAGUUCUCCUAGCCAGAAAAGGGCCCUUCUCUGGCCCUGAAAGGCAAUCUGAUGAUUGCAACAAGGACAGAACCCAUUAUACAAGAGCUCAUUAUUUUAAAAAUUGCAAAUCAAACCAUGUCUCCUAACACCAGAAAUGGGCAAAAAUCUGGCUGAAUAUGGUAGUAUAGAACUUAAAUAUUAGCUUGGUGCCCUCUUACCUUUAUACUGUUGGUUUUAGCCUAUCCUUCCUUUAUAACACCAGCAUUAUAUAGGGGUUUUGUUGUAUGUACCAAUAGUAUUGCAACUUGUAUUCAGUUUCUUUCAUCCAGGGAAUGCAUCAAGCUCAUGCCUAUGAGCAACACCUACUUCAAGGUAGAAGAAGCAGGAAUAGUCAAUCUUGUUCUGUUUUAGCAUCAAACAAUUCAUUGUAACAAAGAAAAACAAACA